UACGUAGGGGGCAAGCGUUGUCCGGAUUUAUUGGGCGUAAAGAGCGUGUAGGCGGCUUCACAGGUCCGCUGUGAAAACUCGAGGCUCAACCUCGAGCUGUCGGUGGAAACCGUGUAGCUAGAGUCCGGAAGAGGAGAGUGGAAUUCCCCGGUGUAGCGGUGAAAUGCGCAGAUAUCGGGAAGAACACCCGUGGCGAAGGCGGCUCUCUGGGACGGUACUGACGCUGAGACGCGAAAAGCGUGGGGGAGCAAACAGG
rnacentral:rRNA from 1 species